rnacentral:rRNA from 1 species
UUCGGGGACAGGGUGACAGGUGCUGCAUGGCUGUCGUCAGCUCGUGUCGUGAGAUGUUGGGUUAAGUCCCGCAACGAGCGUAACCCUUGUUUUUAGUUGCCUUUCGAGGAUAUUUAGAAAGACUGCCGAUUAUAAAUCGGAGGAAGGUAAGGACGACGUCAAGUCAUCAUGCCCCUUACACUCUGGGCUACACACGUGCUACAUUGGGUAGAACAAUAAGUUGCUAAGUUGCGAAACCAAGCGAAUCUUCAAAUCUACUCUAAGUUCGGAUUGUAGGCUGCAACU